UUGAGAAAAUGGUGCUUUGGAAUUAAUUUUGAGGUCUGAUGGUUUUGCGGAAAUUUUUCUUAAGCAAAACGGGGAGCAAAAUGGUCUCAUUUCUGAAAAAUAGAGGAGCUAGCCUUUGUGGAAAGUGAGGUGUGGGCUCGCACGGACAAGAAAGAAAAAAUAAAUAAAAAUAAAAAAACAAAACAAAACAAAAAAAGACAUACCCCAACCCGAUACCCUUUCACUCUCAUUCUCGUCUCUUUUGUCCCUUAGCCAUAGCCAUCUUCAUCACCACCAUCAGAGAACAUCUGAAUCCCAUGCCCCGCAGUCGACCCACCACUGCCCAGCCACCAUCUCCAUUCCCGAAACCUCAUCGACCCCUGUGCCCCGAGAGUCCCAAUCUUGAGCGUGUGAAUCCACUAUCUCCAAGCCAAGAACUCGAAUCCAGAACCCACCUCUGCAUGUCUUUGAACUAGGCAUGACUUCCAUUCGUGCGCCACCGCUUGGCGCGAUUUCGCCUCUGUCUCCACCGUGAAUACCCAGUUCCGACAACCCAGUCGUGUAACAUUGUUGCGAGCCAUCACUAGUCUUUCGCAGCUCUUUCCUGUAUGUUUUGCUGGAGCAUUUUUAGCUGGAUUGAUAGAGGAGAAUUCAACAUAUAAGGGAGCAACACGUGGCAUGUCAUUAAUUAACUUGUCAAAGGGUGGUGAGGUGGCAAAAAUCAGAGUUUUGGCUGCAUUUUAAAGGAGAAAAUUCUCGAAGAAUGGGAGCAUCAUGUGUGGGAGGCUUAGAGAGCAAUUUUAUACUUUGGUGAAAAGGGUUGUGUACCCUAGCUAAAAGAAAAUAAAGGACAACCUCCAUUUACCCAAUUAAGCCAUCUUUGAGAGAGGGAGAACCAGGAAGUACAUAAAGUUUUCAGCAGUAUAAAGAAGGAAGGAGAAGAAAGAAGAAGAAAAGAAUAAUGUUGAUUUCAUCAUCAUUUUUGGGCAUUUCUUCUACUUUGUUUGUCAUUUCUUUCCUAUUUUCUCUUUGUAAUUGGUGUUUGAACUCUCAUGGAUAGAUUUAAUUUUGUAUUUGUGUUUCUUUUUUUUUAGCCAUGAACUAGAUAUUUUGAGGCUUUGAUUAUUAAUGAACUCUAUGUCUUAAUUCUAA